CUGGAGUAAGAGUGAUGAGAGAUUACUGCAGGCUGUAGGGCAAAGUAGCUGCUCUGAUCGUGAAGAAGGGACUCUUCCCCACCAAACUGGAUGCAGAGGGGAAGUCUGCGGUCAUCUGGACUGUCUGGAGGUCAUCCUGGCUCACGGGCCAGACAUUAACGUGACAGAUGGCUCAGGUGAGACGACAGUCUCAUUCAGUGUCACGGAUCGCCAAGGCUUCAGUGCCAUUCACCUAGCAGCCAAGAACGGCCAGCCUGAGUGUCUGAAGAGACUAAUACAGGAGAAACCACAGACAGCUUUGGUCCGAAAGCGUUGCAUCACACAGGUAU